rnacentral:ncRNA from 1 species
GCGCUGAGCCGACCCGGCUCGCCGGACGAGGGAGCCCGUACCCGGACAGCGACAAGACGGCCUCAU